GACGAACGCUGGCGGCGUGCUUAACACAUGCAAGUCGAGCGACUGCAUUCUUUUCGGAGGGUGUAUGGAGCGGCGAACGGGUGAGUAACACGUGAGUAAUCUGCCUUUGGCUUAGGGAAUAACUUCGGGAAAUCGGGGCUAAUGCCUGAUGUUUACUGUCUGCUGCAUGGUGGGUGGUGGAAAGAUUUUUUGGCCAAGGAUGAGCUCGCGGUCUAUCAGCNGUUGGUGGGGUAAUGGCUUACCAAGGCUUUGAC
rnacentral:rRNA from 1 species